CGUUCCCUGCCGUGCCCGUGAUGGGUAUUUAGUCUUGAGCCAACACCCAUCAUAAGGGAGCUCGGUUUGGCUAUAGGAUUUUACUUAUAGUCGACAGGCGCCCACCUUAAAUCUGGGUUCAAAGACUUAUGCUCACACGCCACCGGCGGGGAACAU
rnacentral:other from 1 species